AUCUGUUUGAAUUGUAUCGCAAUAAUAUAAAAUCUGAUUGAUAUAGAGCUAAACUAAAUCAAUAAAGAUAAAUGUUUACUUCUUGAAACAUGUAUCUUUCUAAUCAAAAUGAGUUUAUCUCGACAAAUAACGUAUAUAAAAGGUGAUCGGCAAUCUUGAAAUAGUCAGUUGUAUUAAUCUGAAGAAAACGUUUUGAUCACAUUAAGACGAAUUGGAAAUCAUAAAAAAAUGUCUAAAGUGAUUGCAUUUCUUUGCAUUGCCUUUUUGGCAAUUAAUUUGAUAAUGGCUCAAGAGCCAGUUUGCAAACCGGGAGGUGUUGUGUGCAGCUCAACAUCUGAAUGCUGUACUGGACUUAUCUGUAAUCCUUGGGCUGGGCGUUGUACGAAACCUAAAGUAACAACUACGACUACUGAUCCCGAUAGUAGCGAAGAAAUUUCUGCUACAACUGAAGAAGAUCCAGAAUAAACAAUUUCUAUCGGAGACAUUCAUGAUGAAAAGAAAAAUGAGAUAUUUAUACAAUUAAAUUAUAUAUAAACUCAUUCAUGCAUGUACAUAGACUAUUAAUAAAUUUAAAUUUUUCAAUAUAA